UGCCAGCAGCCGCGGUAAUACGGAGGGUGCAAGCGUUAAUCGGAAUUACUGGGCGUAAAGCGCACGCAGGCGGUUUGUUAAGUCAGAUGUGAAAUCCCCGGGCUCAACCUGGGAACUGCAUCUGAUACUGGCAAGCUUGAGUCUCGUAGAGGGGGGUAGAAUUCCAGGUGUAGCGGUGAAAUGCGUAGAGAUCUGGGGGAAUACCGGUGGCGAAGGCGGCCCCCUGGACGAAGACUGACGCUCAGGUGCGAAAGCGUGGGGAGCAAACAGGAUUAGAUA
rnacentral:rRNA from 1 species